AUUUUCUAUCGUAAUUGAGAGCACUCUUGUUGCCUUUUCUAUUCCUCUUUGAAGCCUUAAAUGACCAAGCGGUGCUGAUCGACGCACUUUCUUUAUAUAUUCCAUAAACGGGGAUUAUACCGCUGUAAGACCUUCACAGACCUGGCCAUAGCUCUUUUAAAUGUGAGUUUUCUACCUCCUCCUAUUUUUUUGCACUAUUGGCUGCCUCUGACUCUCUUUCUUCCAUAUAACGAACAUCUUGAGACAUACUGGCGCACCUAUCCCCACUGCAAAGUCUACUCAUCUACAUUUCAUCAAGUAUCUCUGAUCAUUCAUUGCUGCUCUAGUGAGAUUUUUGGGACUAUUUUAUUUGCUACUGGCACAGCCCUACUCCAUCUUUUUCUAUAUUAUAUAUAUGUUCACUUCCUGUUUAUUGGUCUUGUGAGUUGGGAGGUCUCCGACCAUUAUAGGUCACUCAGGUGUUACUUAUGUUUUAUUUAUGCUUUGGUAUAGAAAGGGGUUGUUCUUUUCACAAUAUGCACCCUUGAUAAAGGCAUACACGCCAAAAUGUUGGGGGGGCUAUUUGAUUUUUCACCCUCUUCUCACUCAUUCUGAUAUUUUUAUUUUCUUC